rnacentral:rRNA from 1 species
GGGUUGUGAGGUUAAGCGACUAAGCGUACACGGUGGAUGCCCUGGCAGUCAGAGGCGAUGAAGGACGUGCUAAUCUGCGAUAAGCGUCGGUAAGGUGAUAUGAACCGUUAUAACCGGCGAUUUCCGAAUGGGGAAACCCAGUGUGUUUCGACACACUAUCAUUAACUGAAUCCAUAGGUUAAUGAGGCGAACCGGGGGAACUGAAACAUCUAAGUACCCCGAGGAAAAGAAAUCAACCGAGAUUCCCCCAGUAGCGGCGAGCGAACGGGGAGCAGCCCAGAGCCUGAAUCAGUAUGUGUGUUAGUGGAAGCGUCUGGAAAGGCGCGCGAUACAGGGUGACAGCCCCGUACACAAAAAUGCACAUAUUGUGAGCUCGAUGAGUAGGGCGGGACACGUGGUAUCCUGUCUGAAUAUGGGGGGACCAUCCUCCAAGGCUAAAUACUCCUGACUGACCGAUAGUGAACCAGUACCGUGAGGGAAAGGCGAAAAGAACCCCGGCGAGGGGAGUGAAAAAGAACCUGAAACCGUGUACGUACAAGCAGUGGGAGCACGCUUAGGCGUGUGACUGCGUACCUUUUGUAUAAUGGGUCAGCGACUUAUAUUCUGUAGCAAGGUUAACCGAAUAGGGGAGCCGAAGGGAAACCGAGUCUUAACUGGGCGUUAAGUUGCAGGGUAUAGACCCGAAACCCGGUGAUCUAGCCAUGGGCAGGUUGAAGGUUGGGUAACACUAACUGGAGGACCGAACCGACUAAUGUUGAAAAAUUAGCGGAUGACUUGUGGCUGGGGGUGAAAGGCCAAUCAAACCGGGAGAUAGCUGGUUCUCCCCGAAAGCUAUUUAGGUAGCGCCUCGUGAACUCAUCUCCGGGGGUAGAGCACUGUUUCGGCAAGGGGGUCAUCCCGACUUACCAACCCGAUGCAAACUGCGAAUACCGGAGAAUGUUAUCACGGGAGACACACGGCGGGUGCUAACGUCCGUCGUGAAGAGGGAAACAACCCAGACCGCCAGCUAAGGUCCCAAAGUCAUGGUUAAGUGGGAAACGAUGUGGGAAGGCCCAGACAGCCAGGAUGUUGGCUUAGAAGCAGCCAUCAUUUAAAGAAAGCGUAAUAGCUCACUGGUCGAGUCGGCCUGCGCGGAAGAUGUAACGGGGCUAAACCAUGCACCGAAGCUGCGGCAGCGACGCUUAUGCGUUGUUGGGUAGGGGAGCGUUCUGUAAGCCUGCGAAGGUGUGCUGUGAGGCAUGCUGGAGGUAUCAGAAGUGCGAAUGCUGACAUAAGUAACGAUAAAGCGGGUGAAAAGCCCGCUCGCCGGAAGACCAAGGGUUCCUGUCCAACGUUAAUCGGGGCAGGGUGAGUCGACCCCUAAGGCGAGGCCGAAAGGCGUAGUCGAUGGGAAACAGGUUAAUAUUCCUGUACUUGGUGUUACUGCGAAGGGGGGACGGAGAAGGCUAUGUUGGCCGGGCGACGGUUGUCCCGGUUUAAGCGUGUAGGCUGGUUUUCCAGGCAAAUCCGGAAAAUCAAGGCUGAGGCGUGAUGACGAGGCACUACGGUGCUGAAGCAACAAAUGCCCUGCUUCCAGGAAAAGCCUCUAAGCAUCAGGUAACAUCAAAUCGUACCCCAAACCGACACAGGUGGUCAGGUAGAGAAUACCAAGGCGCUUGAGAGAACUCGGGUGAAGGAACUAGGCAAAAUGGUGCCGUAACUUCGGGAGAAGGCACGCUGAUAUGUAGGUGAGGUCCCUCGCGGAUGGAGCUGAAAUCAGUCGAAGAUACCAGCUGGCUGCAACUGUUUAUUAAAAACACAGCACUGUGCAAACACGAAAGUGGACGUAUACGGUGUGACGCCUGCCCGGUGCCGGAAGGUUAAUUGAUGGGGUCAGCGCAAGCGAAGCUCUUGAUCGAAGCCCCGGUAAACGGCGGCCGUAACUAUAACGGUCCUAAGGUAGCGAAAUUCCUUGUCGGGUAAGUUCCGACCUGCACGAAUGGCGUAAUGAUGGCCAGGCUGUCUCCACCCGAGACUCAGUGAAAUUGAACUCGCUGUGAAGAUGCAGUGUACCCGCGGCAAGACGGAAAGACCCCGUGAACCUUUACUAUAGCUUGACACUGAACAUUGAGCCUUGAUGUGUAGGAUAGGUGGGAGGCUUAGAAGUGUGGACGCCAGUCUGCAUGGAGCCGACCUUGAAAUACCACCCUUUAAUGUUUGAUGUUCUAACGUUGACCCGUAAUCCGGGUUGCGGACAGUGUCUGGUGGGUAGUUUGACUGGGGCGGUCUCCUCCUAAAGAGUAACGGAGGAGCACGAAGGUUGGCUAAUCCUGGUCGGACAUCAGGAGGUUAGUGCAAUGGCAUAAGCCAGCUUGACUGCGAGCGUGACGGCGCGAGCAGGUGCGAAAGCAGGUCAUAGUGAUCCGGUGGUUCUGAAUGGAAGGGCCAUCGCUCAACGGAUAAAAGGUACUCCGGGGAUAACAGGCUGAUACCGCCCAAGAGUUCAUAUCGACGGCGGUGUUUGGCACCUCGAUGUCGGCUCAUCACAUCCUGGGGCUGAAGUAGGUCCCAAGGGUAUGGCUGUUCGCCAUUUAAAGUGGUACGCGAGCUGGGUUUAGAACGUCGUGAGACAGUUCGGUCCCUAUCUGCCGUGGGCGCUGGAGAACUGAGGGGGGCUGCUCCUAGUACGAGAGGACCGGAGUGGACGCAUCACUGGUGUUCGGGUUGUCAUGCCAAUGGCACUGCCCGGUAGCUAAAUGCGGAAGAGAUAAGUGCUGAAAGCAUCUAAGCACGAAACUUGCCCCGAGAUGAGUUCUCCCUGACUCCUUGAGAGUCCUGAAGGAACGUUGAAGACGACGACGUUGAUAGGCCGGGUGUGUAAGCGCAGCGAUGCGUUGAGCUAACCGGUACUAAUGAACCGUGAGGCUUAACCUUACAACGCCGAAG